GACGAACGCUGGCGGCGUGCCUAAUACAUGCAAGUCGAGCGGACCGAAGGGAGCUUGCUCCUUUAGGUUAGCGGCGGACGGGUGAGUAACACGUGGGCAACCUGCCCUGCAGACUGGGAUAACUUCGGGAAACCGGAGCUAAUACCGGAUAACACCGAAAACCGCAUGGUUUCGGUUGAAAGGCGGCUUUUAGCUGUCACUGCAGGAUGGGCCCGCGGCGCAUUAGCUAGUUGGUGAGGUAACGGCUCACCAAGGCGACGAUCGGUAGCCGGACUGAGAGGUUGAACGGCCACAUUGGGACUGAGACACGGCCCAG
rnacentral:rRNA from 1 species